GACCUACGGGGGGCAGCAGUGGGGAAUAUUACACAAUGGGGGAAACCCUGAUGCAGCGACGCCGCGUGAGUGAAGAAGUAUUUCGGUAUGUAAAUCUCUAUCAGCAGGAACGAGACAAGACGGUACCUGACUAAGAAGCCCAGGCUAACUACGUGCCAGCAGCCGCGGUAAUACGUAGGGGGCAAGCGUUAUCCGGAAUCACUGGGUGUAAAGGGAGCGUAGACGGCUGAGAAAGCGUGCAGUGAAAGGCGGGUGCCCCACCCCUGGAAUGCUUUGGGAACUGCACGGCUGGAG
rnacentral:rRNA from 1 species